rnacentral:rRNA from 1 species
ACAACAGGUGGAGCCUGCGGUUAAUCGGACUCAACGCCGGGAAACGUCACCAGAUAAGACAGCUGAAUGAUAGUCGGGCUGAAGACUCUACUUGACUAGCUGAGAGGAGGUGCAUGGCCGUCGUCAGUUCGUACUGUGAAGCAUCCUGUUAAGUCAGGCAACGAGCGAGACCCACGCCAACAGUUGCCAGCUCGUCCUCCGGGAUGGUGGGGACACUGUUGGGACCGCCUCUGCUAAAGAGGAGGAAGGAAUGGGCAACGGUAGGUCAGCAUGCCCCGAAUUAUCUGGGCUACACGCGGGCUACAAUGGGUGGGACAAUGGGUAUCGACACCGAAAGGUGAAGGCAAUCUCCUAAACCCAUCCGUAGUUCGGAUUGUGGGCUGCAACUCGCCCACAUGAAGCUGGAAUCUGUAGUAAUCGUGUCUCAAAAUGGCACGGUGAAUAUGUCCCUGCUCCUU